ACCACCCUGUCUGCGCCCGAUCUCGUCUGAUCCCGGAAGCUAAGCAGAGUCGGGCCUGGUUAGUACAUGGAUGGGAGACUGCCUGGGAAUACCAGGUG
rnacentral:rRNA from 1 species